GAUGAACGCUGGCGGCGUGCCUAAUACAUGCAAGUCGAGCGAACGGACGAGAAGCUUGCUUCUCUGAUGUUAGCGGCGGACGGGUGAGUAACACGUGGAUAACCUACCUAUAAGACUGGGAUAACUUCGGGAAACCGGAGCUAAUACCGGAUAAUAUUUUGAACCGCAUGGUUCAAAAGUAAAAGACGGUCUUGCUGUCACUUAUAGAUGGAACCGCGCUGCAUUAGCUAGUUGGUAAGGUAACGGCUUACCAAGGCAACGAUGCAUAGCCGACCUGAGAGGGUGAUCGGCCACACUGGAACUGAGACACGGUCCAGACUCCUACGGGAGGCAGCAGUAGGGAAUCUUCCGCAAUGGGCGAAAGCCUGACGGAGCAACGCCGCGUGAGUGAUGAAGGUCUUCGGAUCGUAAAACUCUGUUAUUAGGGAAGAACAUAUGUGUAAGUAACUGUGCACAUCUUGACGGUACCUAAUCAGAAAGCCACGGCUAACUACGUG
rnacentral:rRNA from 1 species